rnacentral:rRNA from 1 species
AUUGAACGCUGGCGGCAGGCUUAACACAUGCAAGUCGAGCUAGCGGCGGACGGGUGAGUAAUUUCUGGGAAACUGCCUGAUGGAGGGGGAUAACUACUGGAAACGGUAGCUAAUACCGCAUACCAUCAGAUGUGCCCAGAUGGGAUUAGCUAGUAGGUGGGGUAAUGGCUCCCCUAGGCGACGAUCCCUAGCUGGUCUGAGAGGAUGACCAGACACACUGGAACUGAGACACGGUCCAGACUCCUACGGGAGGCAGCAGUGGGGAAUAUUGCACAAUGGGCGCAAGCCUGAUGCAGCCAUGCCGCGUGUAUGAAGAAGGCCUUCGGGUUGUAAAGUACUUGCAGCGAGGAGGCGUUACUCGCAGAAGAAGCACCGGCUAACUCCGUGCCAGCAGCCGCGGUAAUAC